CUGGAGAGAUGACCCUGUUGAGCUUGACUCUAGUCUGCAACUGUGAAGAGACAUGAGAGGUGUAGGAUAAGUGGGAGGCCCCCGCCU